CCCGAGAAGAGCUGGGACCGGAAGAAGGAGUGGCGGAACGGUCCAGACCGGGGACCACCAUCUCACCUGUCGGCUGAUCGGAACCUUCCGACAACCGAGGUCUUUUUGAUCGGGGUUCGGGAGGAACCUCUUCGGUGUCCUCCGAAUCCUCGACCGCCUCGGUUGACGGAGGGGGCGGCGGGAGAGUCGGCUUCGGCAGAGAAGGCGGAGCGACUUUUGUAGGCGCUUUGAUGGUCGGCUUGGAGGGCUUCUUGGACUUUUUCAGUAAAGCCGCCUUCUCCGCGCGGCUCAUCUUCAGCGCCCCUCUUUGUGUGGUCGGGGGCUCGGGCCCCGAAGUGGACCCCAGCGACAGUUCGCUGAUCGGGACCGUAUCCUCCUCAGGAGCAUCGUCGGUCACUGGGGGUCGGAUGAACCCGGGGGUGACGGUGGCAGGGAUGAAGGCGUCGACAACGCCCUCUGGCUUGAAAAUGGUCACUGCACGGGGACAAAUGGGUUAAGGCAUGGAAAGCUUCAGAAAAUAGGAGGAAAAAUAAUGAAAAACAGAAGGAUACUCACAGCCGUGUUUGUACAACCAGGCUUCGUUCAUCAGAAGCCCCAGAUUCCAUUGGGUCCAUUGCCAUUGCUUGUAGAAUGUCUUGAAGGCAUCGGCUCAGCCCUUCGGGAACUUUGAAAUCUUCGCCGCCUGGUCGGCUGGAUGGGCCCAGGGGGGAAGGAGUUGGAGGUCGGUUCCCUUGGCAAAAAACCACUGUUCAUGCCACCCCUUGUUGCUUGAAGGGGUCUUGAUCGGGACGGUGCGGUUGGGGCGUUUGUUGAGUUGCCGAAG
rnacentral:lncRNA from 1 species